rnacentral:rRNA from 1 species
UACGGGAGGCAGCAGUGGGGAAUAUUGGACAAUGGGCGCAAGCCUGAUCCAGCCAUGCGCGUGAGUGAUGAAGGCCUUAGGGUUGUAAAGCUCUUUCGCACGCGACGAUAAUGACGGUAGCGUGAGAAGAAGCCCCGGCUAACUUCGUGCCAGCAGCCGCGGUAAUACGAAGGGGCUAGCGUUGUUCGGAAUCACUGGGCGUAAAGGGUGCGCAGGCGGGUUCAUAAGUCAGGGGUGAAAUCCCGAGGCUCAACCUCGGAACUGCCUUUUGAUACUGUGGAUCUUGAGUCCGGAAGAGGUGAGUGGAACUGCGAGUGUAGAGGUGAAAUUCGUAGAUAUUCGCAAGAACACCGGUGGCGAAGGCGGCUCACUGGUCCGGAACUGACGCUGAGGCACGACAGCGUGGGGAGCAAACAGGGAUUAGAUACC